UACAGGGGGUGCAAACGUUGCUCGGAAUCAUUGGGCGUAAAGCGCACGUAGGCGGUCUGUUAUGUCGGAUGUGAAAGCCCUUGGCUUAACUGAGGAAGUGCAUCCGAAACUGGCAGGCUAGAGUACUAAAGAGGGUCGCGGAAUUCCGGGUGUAGCGGUGGAAUGCGUAGAGAUCCGGAAGAACACCGGUGGCGAAGGCGGCCUGCUGGGCAGUGGGGGAGACCCCUUCAAGCUGACACUGAGGCGCGACAGCGUGGGGAGCAAACAGG
rnacentral:rRNA from 1 species